CCUACGGGAUGCUGCAGUGAGGAAUAUUGGUCAAUGGACGCAAGUCUGAACCAGCCAAGUAGCGUGCAGGAUGACGGCCCUCCGGGUUGUAAACUGCUUUUAGUUGGGACUAAAAGGGGGCUCUUGAGCCCCGUAUUGUAUGUACCAUCAGAAAAAGGACCGGCUAAUUCCGUGCCAGCAGCCGCGGUAAUACGGGGGAUGCGAGCGUUAUCCGAAUUUAUUGGGUUUAACGGGUGCGUAGGCGGGCUUUUAAGUCAGCGGUAAAAAUUCGGGGCUCAACCCCGUCCGGCCGUUGAAACUGGGGGCCUUGAGUGGGCGAGAAGAAGGCGGAAUGCGUGGUGUAGCGGUGAAAUGCAUAGAUAUCACGCAGAACCCCGAUUGCGAAGGCAGCCUUCCGGCGCCCUACUGACGCUGAGGCACGAAAGUGCGGGGAUCGAACAGGAUUAGAUACCCGGGUAGUC
rnacentral:rRNA from 1 species